rnacentral:lncRNA from 1 species
UACUACCUUAGAAAUGUUGGAGUAGUUUGGAAAGUGGUGAAGAAGGGUGGGAAGCAGAUAGCACCGGAGAGAGGCCCUAUGGUGUUUGGAAUCUUGGGGAGUGUGCAGGACCCACUGAGGCGGGAUGGGGGGAAAGGUGUGUACAGUGUCCCUGUGACUGAUAACAGUAUGAGUGGGGGGUCAGCAUGUGUUGGAGUGGCUUCGAGAGUGAUGGGAGCACGUGUGGCGGAACACAGGGGAGACAUAAGGCAUGCAAGGCUUAGUACAUCUUUGGCCGGAGAAGCUUAUAAUAAGAAUGUUGAUGUGGAUUGGAGGGGGGUUAGGUGGA